CCUACGGGAGGCAGCAGUGGGGAAUAUUGCACAAUGGGGGAAACCCUGAUGCAGCGACGCCGCGUGAGUGAAGAAGUAAUUCGUUAUGUAAAGCUCUAUCAGCAGGGACGAAGAAUGACGGUACCUGAAGAAUAAGCUCCGGCUAACUACGUGCCAGCAGCCGCGGUAAUACGUAGGGAGCAAGCGUUAUCCGGAUUUACUGGGUGUAAAGGGCGUGUAGGCGGGCCUGCAAGUCAGAAGUGAAAUCUGGGGGCUUAACCCCCAAACUGCUUUUGAAACUGUGGGUCUUGAGUGAUGGAGAGGCAGGCGGAAUUCCCAGUGUAGCGGUGAAAUGCGUAGAUAUUGGGAGGAACACCAGUGGCGAAGGCGGCCUGCUGGACAUUAACUGACGCUGAGGCGCGAAAGCGUGGGGAGCAAACAGGAUUAGAUACCCCGGUAGUC
rnacentral:rRNA from 1 species